UAAAAUGUUUACGAAAAUACUAUCAUGAACAUUAAUUAGAGUAUAUGAGAAAAAUGUUUAAUUCAUUUUCCUCCUCCAUGUAUAAUAGGAAGAGCAGUGGUUUCUCUAGAGGGGCCUCUAUAUACAGAGGAGUAACGAGGCACCCAAGAAGAAGCUGCUGAGACCUAUGACAUUGCUGCUAUCAAAUUCAGGGGAUUAAAUGCAGUAACAAACUUUGACAUGAGUCGCUACGACGUGAAGAGCAUUGCAAAUAGUACUCUUCCUAUUGGUGGUUUAUCUGGCAAGAACAAGAACUCCACAGAUUCUGCAUCUGAGAGCAAAAGCCAUGAGCCAAGCCAAUCCGAUGGAGAUCCAUCAUCGGCUUCAUCGGUGACCUUUGCAUCAUAGCAACAACCUUCAAGCUCCAACUUAAGCUUUGCCAUACCCAUUAAGCAAGACCCUUCAGAUUACUGGUCCAUCUUGGGGUACCAUAAUACUCCCCUUGACAACAGUGGCAUCAGGAACACUACUAGUACUGUUACUACAACUACUUUUCCAUCCUCCAACAAUGGCACUGCUAGUAGUUUGACACCCUUCAACAUGGAGUUCUCAAGUGCCCCCUCAAGUACCGGCAGCGAUAACAAUGCCGCGUUUUUCAGUGGAGGAGGCAUCUUUGUUCAGCAACAAACUAGUCAUGGUCAUGGAAAUGGAAGCAGUGGUUCCUCCUCUUCUUCUUUAAGCUGUUCAAUCCCAUUUGCCACGCCCAUAUUUUCUCUAAAUAGCAAUACUAGUUAUGAGAGCAGUGCUGGUUAUGGAAACUGGAUUGGACCUACCCUGCACACAUUCCAAUCCCAUGCAAAACCAAGUCUCUUUCAAACGCCAAUAUUUGGAAUGGAAUGAGCUCAUGCACGAGCUGGGAUGAGAAUCUGUGCAUAUAAUGAUGAAAGGGGAAGAAGGACAAUAGUGGCGAUGUUGUUUUAGCAUGCAAAGAAGCAAAGGACGGACUAGUCCCUUUAGCUGAUGCAGUAUUUGAAUGAGUUGGACUGACAGUCAUAAUUUCAUGAGAAUCGUAGCUAUACCUAGCAGCUGACACUGUACUAACUCAAACUUCCUUUGUUAUGUUUUGAAUGAAUUUUCCUUUUUCUUUUUCGCCCCUUUA